rnacentral:rRNA from 1 species
AGCAGCCGCGGUAAUUCCAGCUCCAAUAGCGUAUAUUAAAGUUGUUGCAGUUAAAAAGCUCGUAGUUGAAUUUCGGGGUUAGUAGGCUGGUCAUGCCACUGGUAUGUACUGGUCUUACUGAUUCCUCCUUCCUGACGAACCGUAAUGCCAUUAAUUUGGUGUUGCGGGGGAUUUGGACUGUUACUUUGAAAAAAUUAGAGUGUUUAAAGCAGGCUAACGCUUGAAUACAUUAGCAUGGAAUAAUGGAAUAGGACGUUCGAUCCUAUUUUGUUGGUUCUAGGAUUGACGUAAUGAUUAAUAGGGAUAGUUGGGGGCAUUAGUAUUCAAUUGUCAGAGGUGAAAUUCUUGGAUUUAUUGAAGACUAACUACUGCGAAAGCAUUUGCCAAGGAUGUUUUCAUUAAUCAAGAACGAAAGUUAGGGGAUCGAAGACGAUCAGAUACCGUCGUAGU